GUAGCUCAGGUGGUUAGAGCGCACGCCUGAUAAGCGUGAGGUCGGUGGUUCGAGUCCACUAAAUUACCA
rnacentral:tRNA from 1 species